rnacentral:rRNA from 1 species
GGGAUUGCCUUAGUAACGGCGAGUGAAGCGGCAACAGCUCAAAUUUGAAAUCUGGCGUCUUUGGCGUCCGAGUUGUAAUUUGCAGAGGAUGCUUCGGCGUUGGCGCCGCCCAAAGUUCCUUGGAACGGGACGUCGCAGAGGGUGAGAGCCCCGUGUUCGGGCGGAUGCCUUCGCCGUGUGAAGCUCCUUCGACGAGUCGAGUUGUUUGGGAAUGCAGCUCAAAACGGGAGGUAAAUUUCUUCCAAAGCUAAAUACCGGCCGGAGACCGAUAGUGCACAAGUAGAGUGAUCGAAAGAUGAAAAGCACUUUGGAAAGAGAGUCAAACAGCGCGUGAAAUUGUUAAAAGGGAAGCGCUUGCGGUCAGAACUUGGCCGCCGUUGCUCGGGGAGGUCUUGCGCCUCCCUCGCUCUUCGGCGGCUGGGCCAGCAUCGGUUCGGGCGGCUCGAGAAAGGUCGCGGGAAUGUAGCUCCCUCCGGGGAGUGUUAUAGCCCGCGGCGCAAUAGGGCCCGCCUGGACCGAGGUCUGCGCAUUUGCUCGGAUGCUGGCGUAAUGGCCCCAAGCGGCCCGUCUUGAAACACGGACCAAGGAGUCUAACAUUCGUGCGAGUGUUCGGGUGUCAAACCCGUGCGCGCAAUGAAAGUGAACGUAGGUGGGAACCCCUCGUGGGCGCACCAUCGACCGAUCCUGAUGUCUUCGGAUGGAUUUGAGUAUGAGCACGUAUGUUGGGACCCGAAAGAUGGUGAACUAUGCCUAAGCAGGGCGAAGCCAGAGGAAACUCUGGUGGAGGCUCGCAGCGGUUCUGACGUGCAAAUCGAUCGUCAAAUUUGGGUAUAGGGGCGAAAGAC